rnacentral:rRNA from 1 species
CUGGGAUAACUCCGGGAAACCGGGGCUAAUACCGGAUGGUUGUUUGAACCGCAUGGUUCAAACAUAAAAGGUGGCUUCGGCUACCACUUACAGAUGGACCCGCGGCGCAUUAGCUAGUUGGUGAGGUAACGGCUCACCAAGGCAACGAUGCGUAGCCGACCUGAGAGGGUGAUCGGCCACACUGGGACUGAGACACGGCCCAGACUCCUACGGGAGGCAGCAGUAGGGAAUCUUCCGCAAUGGACGAAAGUCUGACGGAGCAACGCCGCGUGAGUGAUGAAGGUUUUCGGAUCGUAAAGCUCUGUUGAUAGGGAAGAACAAGUACCGUUCGAAUAGGGCGGUACCUUGACGGUACCUAACCAGAAAGCCACGGCUAACUACGUGCCAACAGCCGCGGUAAUACGUAGGUGGCAAGCGUUGUCCGGAAUUAUUGGGCGUAAAGGGCUCGCAGGCGGUUUCUUAAGUCUGAUGA